UAGCAUAUCAAUAAGCGGAGGAAAAGAAACCAACAGGGAUUGCCUCAGUAACGGCGAGUGAAGCGGCAACAGCUCAAAUUUGAAAUCUGGCUCCUUCGGGGCCCGAGUUGUAAUUUGGAGAAGAUGCUUCGGGGGUGGCCCCGGUCUAAGUUCCUUGGAACAGGACGUCACAGAGGGUGAGAAUCCCGUACGUGACCGGUGGCCUCCUCCAUGUGAAGCUCUUUCGACGAGUCGAGUUGUUUGGGAAUGCAGCUCAAAAUGGGUGGUAAAUUUCAUCUAAAGCUAAAUAUUGGCCAGAGACCGAUAGCGCACAAGUAGAGUGAUCGAAAGAUGAAAAGCACUUUGGAAAGAGAGUUAAACAGUACGUGAAAUUGUUGAAAGGGAAGCGCUUGCAACCAGACUUGCGCGCGGUCGAUCAUCCGGUGUUCGCACCGGUGCACUCGGCCGCGCUCAGGCCAGCAUCGGUUUGGGUGGUUGGAUAAAGGCCUCGGGAACGUGGCUCCCCUCGGGGAGUGUUAUAGCCCGAGGCGCAAUGCAGCCCACCCGGACCGAGGACCGCGCUUCGGCUAGGAUGCUGGCGUAAUGGUUGUAAGCGACCCGUCUUGAAACACGGACCAAGGAGUCUAACAUCUAUGCGAGUGUUUGGGUGUCAAACCCAUACGCGUAAUGAAAGUGAACGGAGGUGAGAACCCUUAAGGGUGCAUCAUCGACCGAUCCUGAUGUCUUCGGAUGGAUUUGAGUAAGAGCAUAGCUGUUGGGACCCGAAAGAUGGUGAACUAUGCCUGAAUAGGGUGAAGCCAGAGGAAACUCUGGUGGAGGCUCGCAGCGGUUCUGACGUGCAAAUCGAUCGUCAAAUUUGGGCAUAGGGGCGAAAGACUAAUC
rnacentral:rRNA from 1 species